rnacentral:rRNA from 1 species
UACAGAGGGUGCAAGCGUUGUUCGGAAUCAUUGGGCGUAAAGGGCGCGUAGGCGGCCCGGUAAGUCAGAUGUGAAAUCCCUGAGCCUAACUCAGGACGUGCAUUUGAAACUGUCGGGCUAGAGUGCAGUAGAGGUUGGUAGAAUUCCCAGUGUAGAGGUGAAAUUCGUAGAUAUUGGGAGGAAUACCGAUGGCGAAGGCAGCCAACUGGGCUGCAACUGACGCUGAGGCGCGAAAGCGUGGGUAGCAAACAGG